rnacentral:tRNA from 1 species
AACAAAGAAGUAAAAAAAAUUACUCUUAAUUUCGACCUAAGUAUAAAGGAUUUAGUCCUUCUUGUUUU